AGCAGCCGCGGUAAUUCCAGCCCCAAUAGCGUAUAUUAAAGUUGUUGCAGUUAAAAAGCUCGUAGUUGAAUUUCGGGAUCAAUUCGUCGGUCGUGCUUUCGGGUACGUACUGGUGUUAUUGGUUUCUCCCUUCUGACGAACCAUGAUGUCAUUAAUUUGGUGUUAUGGGGAGUUAGGACUGUUACUUUGAAAAAAUUAGAGUGUUUAAAGCAGGCAUUAGCUUGAAUACAUUAGCAUGGAAUAAUGAAAUAGGACGUUCGAUCCUAUUUUGUUGGCUUCUAGGAUCAACGUAAUGAUUAAUAGGGAUAGUUGGGGGCAUUAGUAUUCAAUUGUCAGAGGUGAAAUUCUUGGAUUUAUUGAAGACUAACUACUGCGAAAGCAUUUGCCAAGGAUGUUUUCAUUAAUCAAGAACGAAAGUUAGGGGAUCGAAGACGAUCAGAUACCGUCGUAGUCUUAACCAUAAACUAUGCCGACUAGGGAUCGGAUGAUGUUAAUUUUUAAUGACUCAUUCGGCGCCUUA
rnacentral:rRNA from 1 species